AGGGAUUUAAACUAUGCAAGGCUGUGGACUGUGAUAUGUAUUAAAAAAAAAAACCAAAAAAAAAAAGAGAAAAAAAUUUUAUAAAAAUACUUCGAAUGCUGCCGUCUUUACAUGCAGGCAUUACUUUUUGCUCAUCUCAUUUAGGUUUUCCCUUUUAUGGCUAAAUAAUUUCCGUUGAAAGGUUAGUAAAUGUUCAUAAACUCCUACGUUUUAUGUGAGAAAGGCUAUCCUCAUCUAUAUUUAGUGAUUGCUAUUACGAUCUCUUCACGUAAUCGAAAUCUAAACGAAAAACUAUUAAAAUUGUUAAGCAGACAAUGUUAGUUUUUUUCUCUUUCUUUCUUUCUUUUUUUUUCUUUCAAAGCGUAAAAGUUAAAAUUUAAAAACUAUGGUCAAGCAUAACUUUGUCUCUGUUUGCCGCUAUUGUUGAUCUUUUUUGCAACAAUACAUCGUUCAGUUUGUUCAAUUGAUGUAGGUCGGUAGAGAACUGCAGUAAUAGAUUCCUUAUCGGGGUUUAAUGUCCGGACCUAGCUUGAAACCUAAGUCAGAGGGGUUGCCUGCACGUAUUGACAAUUAGCAUAUUUCAAUUGGGGACCCCUAAGGGAGUAAGACAAUCCCCAUUGAAGGGGGCCUUACUACCCAGAGGUACCGAAUUAGAAAAUUGACGUGGGCUCGCUCACUGGUUUCCGUCGAGGCCUAUCCAAACACCUCCUAGUUAGUUCGCCGCGAAAUUUCGGAGUAAGCACAUCCACCACGAUAGUCCCCGAAGGGCCGUAUCCAAGCAGCCAGGUAAGAAGGCAUUCUCCCAGCAGUCAGAUAGGUAGUGCAUUUUCCUGCCAGGAGCAAUCCUACUUUUGGGCAACCUGAGCCCACUAAAUUUCAUAGCUUAUCACUCGUACAUAACUUACACCGUAGUAUACAGCUUUGGUUGACCUCUUACCCCGUACGCAGUCGCAGACCCUCUUGCCUUCAAAUCCCCCACAUGUCUCGGUUGGCAAACCAAGCACUAUUCUUUCUCGAGGAAACAAUGCCUCCAAGGUUGUCGUCACACAGCACACCACCAACUAUACCCCAGCUCGUUUAAAUAUCGCUGGCUCUCAUGCGGUUUGAUGACCUCCACAAAAGAGAAACAAAAGGCAGAAGAAAAAUACUGUCUUUUUCUAAUGAAAAGAGUGCCUUCUUGCGAUGCAUCUCUUCGGCUUCCAAAAAAAAAACUCGCCGCCAGGUUAUAAAAAGCAAACCUUAAACCCUCCUUUGACGUUGAGUGUGCGACUCUCGCAAGUGAGGGCUAGAAAAGCAACAGUAAACGUUCGCAAAAGAAAUCGUUCAAGUGCCACAUUAGUAGUUCCAUUUUUUUCAGCUUAGAGAUAUGUAGGAGAACGUACAUUGACCUAAUGGGGAAUGAUCCGAUAAAUUGAUCGAUUCAUCCUUCAGCUGAUUUAUUACGGCGAUGAUUUAAUAAACCAGUGCACAAAAAUUCUCAAGGGUUAACGAAACGUAUUACUACCUACCGUGCUACUGCAACAGUGAUUUUCAAUACGUUUAUUAAUUGAGUAAAUUGAUUUGUCUUAUUUUACUAUACCCUAUAGCGCAGUUGGUGGUACAGGACAUGUUAAGUUUGCGCGGAUGCCUACAACACCCAGUAGGACUGGACGUAGACGCAUCUUUUCUUAGGCGGAUCAAUUCAGAAGCAUAUUGCGAGUCGAUCUAAACUUGUCUGUCUCUCUGUCCGUACGUCUUGCUUUCUUUUGUUCAACUUAUACGCCGCAACUUUUAAAAUAUUUUGAUUUGACUUGGUACACUCUCAUGUUUUGGGUCUAAUAUUUGUUGAGAAUAAAUCGGAUUUGAACACUUUCUCCAAGUCGUUGUACAAAUAACUCUUUUUACCAGUGAACUGGCGUUGUUAUAGGGCAAUUAAUCGUGAGUUUUUACACUUUUGUUAUUAGAAGAAUUAGAAAAUCAUAAAAAAAGCGAAAGAGGCGGCGGAGGAGUAAUGUUUUUGUUUAAGGUAGGACACUCUAUGCAAAUGUCAUUCAUUUGGGAAUAUGGAGGUAACUUGUUAUAUAAUCUUUCUUGUCGAAAAUUCUGUGUAUAGCUCAAUAAAUAUUUUAUUAAUUAUUUCUAUUUUCUUUCCCUUUACAUUUCAGUUCCAUUCUCUUUUCAAUACUUCCUUUUUGAUGGGACUCAAUCAAUCAGGUCGACUUGCAAUUAUUCUGAAUUAAAAACAAGCUGAAUUCGAUGAGGGAGGAAAGGGAGGAGUUGGGCAAAAUGACACGAGCGUAUUAAGCGUUUUUAAAACGCUAUUGGAUUUUGAAAAGAGUUUACUCAAACUGCAUAAAUUAAUUAAUUGAUUUCUUAAUCUUAAUUGGCAUUAAGAAACUCUUAUUCAUUUUCUUUAUUACUUUGUAGUUAAAGUUUUGCGAAAAUUUUGAAAAAGAAAAAAAAAAAAAACAAAA